rnacentral:rRNA from 1 species
AUUGAACGCUAGCGGCAUGCCUUACACAUGCAAGUCGAACGGAGUGGCGAACGGGUGAGUAAUGUAUCGGAACGUGCCCAGUAGCCGGGGAUAACUACGCGAAAGCGUAGCUAUUACCGCAUACUUUUGGAGCGGCCGCUAUCGGAUUAGCUAGUUGGUGGGGUAACGGUUCACCAAGGUGACGAGCCGUAGCUGGUUUGAGAGGACGACCAGCCACACUGGGACGGAGACACGGCCCAGACUCCUACGGGAGGCAGCAGGGGGGAAUUUUGGACAAUGGGGGAAAGCCUGAUCCAGCCAUCCCGCGUGUGCGAUGAAGGCCUUCGGGUUGUAAAGCACUUUUGGCAGGAAAGCGGUACCUGCAGAAUAAGCACCGGCUAACUACGUGCCAGCAGCCGCGGUAAUUC